rnacentral:rRNA from 1 species
AAAGCGUGCGCAGGCGGUUAUGUAAGACAGAUGUGAAAUCCCCGGGCUCAACCUGGGAACUGCAUUAGUGACUGCAUAGCUGGAGUACGGUAGAGGGGGAUGGAAUUCCGCGUGUAGCAGUGAAAUGCGUAGAUAUGCGGAGGAACACCGAUGGCGAAGGCAAUCCCCUGGACCUGUACUGACGCUCAUGCACGAAAGCGUGGGGAGCAAACAGGAUUAGAUACCCCAGU